rnacentral:rRNA from 1 species
UACGAAGGGGGCAAGCGUUAAUCGGAAUUACGGGGCGUAAAGGGUGCGUAGGCGGUUCGGAAAGAGAGGUGUGAAAUCCCAGGGCUUAACCUUGGAACUGCACUUCUAACUACCGGGCUAGAGUACGUCAGAGGGGGGUAGAAUUCCACGUGUAGCAGUGAAAUGCGUAGAGAUGUGGAGGAAUACCGAUGGCGAAGGCAAUCCCCUGGGCCUGCACUGACGCUCAUGCACGAAAGCGUGGGGAGCAAACAGG